CCGAGUUUACAACUCCCAAACCUCUGUGAACAUACCUAUAUGUUGCCUCGGCGGAUCAGCCCGCGCCCCGUAAAACGGGACGGCCCGCCGCAGGAUCCACAAACUCUGUUUUUAUUGUAACUUCUGAGUAACAAAACAAAUAAAUCA
rnacentral:misc_RNA from 1 species